rnacentral:rRNA from 1 species
GCUUCCUACGGGACGCAGCAGUGGGGAAUAUUGGGCAAUGGACGCAAGUCUGACCUAGCAACGCCGCGUGAAGGAAGAAGGCUUUCGGGUUGUAAACUUCUUUUAAGGGGGAAGAGCAGAAGACGGUACCCCUUGAAUAAGCCACGGCUAACUACGUGCCAGCAGCCGCGGUAAUACGUAGGUGGCAAGCGUUGUCCGGGUUUACUGGGUGUAAAGGGCGUGCAGCCGGAGAGACAAGUCAGAUGUGAAAUACACGGGCUCAACCCGUGAGCUGCAUUUGAAACUGUCAGUCUUGAGUACCGGGG